rnacentral:rRNA from 1 species
AUUGAACGCUGGCGGCAGGCCUAAUACAUGCAAGUCGAACGAGUGGCGGACGGGUGAGCAAUGUCUGGGAACCUGCCUGACGGAGGGGGAUAACUACUGGAACCGGUAGCUAAAACCGCAUACCAUCCGUUGUGCCCAGGUGGGAUUAGCUUGUUGGUGGGGUAACGGCUCACCAAGGCGACGAUGCCUAGCUGGUCUGAGAGGGUGACCGGCCACACUGGGACUGAGACACGGUCCAGACUCCUACGGGAGGCAGCAGUAGGGAAUAUUUGGCAAUGGGCGCAAGCCUGACGGAGCCAUGCCGCGUGUGUGAAGAAGGCCUUCGGAUUGUAAAACUCUGUCAUCAGGGAAGCGUUACCCACAGAGAAAGCACCGGCUAACUCCGUGCCAGCAGCCGCGGUAAUUC